ACAUAACUGAUGCCUCCGCGUAUCGACUUUGUGCGCAUUUUAGCUAUUAUGUGUUCUUUUAAUUAAAAUGAUUCUUUUUAAGAUUUAUCUAUUAAAAAUUUGCUUCGGCAUAAUUUUUUUGAUGAUCUUGUUACUUUGAGUAAAUUAGAGUGUUCAAAGCAAACAGAUAUAGCAUUUGUGCGUUUGAAUACUACAGCAUGGGAUAACAAAAUUGAACAAGUCAGAAUUUUUUUGUUCUUUUUUCUUAUUUUGGCUUAGUUACGAUUAAUAGGAGUAGCUUGGGGGCAUUUGUAUUCAGAUGUCAGAGGUGAAAUUCUUAGAUUUUCUGGAGACAAACAACUGCGAAAGCAUUUGCCUAAAAUACUUCCAUUAAUCAAGAACGAAAGUUAAGGGAGUGAAGACGAUCAGAUACCGUCGUAAUCUUAACCAUAAACUAUGCCGACUAGGCUUUGGAUGAAAGAUUUUAAAAUAAAAGUUUUUCUUUUCUCUCCGGAGAUUAGAACUCUUAGAUUGCUUCCUUCAGUGCCUUAUGAGAAAUCAAAGUCUUUGGGUUCUGGGGCGAGUAUUCGCGCAAGCGAGAAAGUUAAAAGAAUUGACGGAAGGGCACCACCAGGCGUGGAGCUUGCGGCUUAAUUUGACUCAACACGGGAAAACUCACUAGUUUAAGACAAGAGUAGGAUUGACAGAUUAAUAGCUCUUUCUUGAUUUCUUGGAUGGUGAUGCAUGGCCGUCUUUAGUUCGUGAAUAUGAUUUGUCUGGUUAAUUCCGAUAACGAACGAGAUCUUAACCUGCUAAUUAGCGGCAAAUACGAUAUAUUCUUAUGUAGAAUUGAAUAUAGUGGAUUUGUUAGAUUUUGAAGAAAAUAUUGGAAUUACGUUAAAUGUGAUUCCUUUCCCUUUUCUACUUAAUUUACAUUUCCAUCUAUUUCUUUUUUGCGUAUGAAUGUAUUUGCUUGAUUGUAAAGCUUCUUAGAGGAACGAUGUGUG
rnacentral:rRNA from 1 species